UACGUAGGGGGCUAGCGUUGUCCGGAUUUAUUGGGCGUAAAGAGCGUGUAGGCGGCCAGGUAGGUCUGGUGUGAAAACUCGAGGCUUAACCUCGAGAUGUCAUCGGAAACCAUUUGGCUAGAGUCCGGAAGAGGAGAGUGGAACUCCUGGUGUAGCGGUGAAAUGCGCAGAUAUCAGGAAGAACACCAAUGGCGAAAGCAGCUCUCUGGGACGGUACUGACGCUGAGACGCGAAAGCGUGGGGAGCGAACAGG
rnacentral:rRNA from 1 species